AAUUACAGAUUGCCCUCACAAUCGGCUUGAAAUGUUCCCAGUCCGUGAAAUAAUAAAGACAAGGAAAAGAAAGGGGAGGACAGAACAUCUUUAUGACUGGCAGCCCUGCACAAUGUGUGGAAAGACCUGGCCUCCAUCCUGGCAGCCAGCCUGAUUCCCAUCCCAUGCAGCCUGCAAAUAUGCAACAUACAUUGCAAACAUGCAUUUUUUUUUUUUUUCCUUGCUCUUGUUAAGUGUUUUUUCUUUACAUAUUUUUGUUGUCCACUUGUAUUGUUCCAUAACAUUGUCAUGUUACAUCAGCUAAGCAGUUUGUAAUGUAAUUUGAACUUUAAUAUUUUUCAUGUUUUUUCUUCAAGCUUGUUACAGUCUCUUUUAUCUGUAUGGAUUCAAUAAAGGGCAACAGUCAACAAACUUAACAUUUCUUAAACUUGAAGGAUCCCUAUAUGGAUUGUUUUGUGGCCAACAGACCAUGGAAAAGCUACAGUUGAUCAUAUUUUGACUCAGACAAGCUAAACUAUGUGGAACAACUGAUCCUUUCACAACUACUAAAAUGUUCAGUCCACUGAUGACACACACAGUUGGAGUGCUUUAUUGGGGGACAUAGCUCAAUAUCGAAGAGGACACUGUUUCGUUUAAGAUUUCAUAUUAAAUAACCUCCGCCACAAAUUAAACUAAAUGAGCAACUUCCCAUUUUAUUCACAGGCUUCGAAAUGCCUUAAUUUUUAUGAGCAAUCUUUCAACCUCUUGUGCUAAAUUACAGUACCGUAAUUAACUAUGAAAUCAUGCCAUUUCCUAAUUUGCAUAACGUACUGUCUGGACUAACCCUAUGUAGCAGUUACUCACCUUGAAGCUGAUUGUGUGUUGACAAUGUAUUUAAAGUUUUGAUGGGAAUGAAAAUGUACAUUUCACAAACUUCAGAU